rnacentral:lncRNA from 1 species
AUCAGAUUAGUCAUAACAAUAUACUAAAGGCUAUAGCAUAUUUCAUUGAGAAAUUAAACAGAGUCAGAGGACAUACUUUGGAAUAGUUUUCCUUUUUCCAGAACUGCCUGCUGAAGGUCAAGUGGGUUUAUCAUGAGACCCUCUUUGCAGGGUCCCAUCAAGAGAUGAUGAUUUAGCAUUGCCUAGCAGAGCCCACGUCAAGAAGCCCUGUGAACAUUACUGCUGCGCUGUCCUACCUCUAUUCCCUGCAGAGUGGCUCAGGCUUGCCGGGAUGUGGUCUUAGGAGAGAGAAGGAAUCUCUCUUCGAAGCAAUCUGAAAGCUUGCUGACAAAAAAUGAUGUGCAUGAAUGUCACCCUCUCCAUAACCCCAAAGAAAAAGACAAUUUGUGGAAUAUGAGUAAAUUCAGCCUCAUGUGACAGAAAACCUUUGAUUUUGUUUUUAACUUUAUAGGACUAGGCAACAAUAUUUUUUGUGGGUUUGUAGCUU